UGCAUGACUGUAAUACACAGGGGGAUUAGUGUUAGCAGACAGAGCUUGUCACACAGCUUUGCUCUAACAUGACAAAUGAGCGCUUGGUUCUAUUACAGCACGGUUUGCUCCUUUUCUUUUUCCUUUUAGUCUGUUCAGCCUCCUCAGCCUCACUCAUUUAUGAUGGAUAAAAGCUUCUGAAGACAGUGGAUUAGAACCUGACCUCUGGUAAGCCUCUCCAAGGCAGGGGAGCAUGUUACCUAGCCACAGGUCACACCUGUGGUCAAUUAGAGUGCCCUUUGCUCCAGGGCUCCAUAGAAAACAUCUGCAGAGCAUUAGGCUGAGAGUUUCUCUCCUGAUGACUGAACUUUAUUGUGAAUGAAGAGAUGCUCACUCUCUCUCUCUCUACACUUAAGAGGUACCAAAAAGAUAUUCAUCCCCACAUUUCAGAUGAUGGAGCUUCCCACGGCACAGCAAAGCCUUCCUAGGGAUUCACCAGGGAGUUUGGUAGCGAACUGAUGCUGCUUUACAUACUGCAAGCUUUCCUCACUGAGAAUGAGUCUGCCAGUUACAGGGGAAGGAAUGGAUAAUGUCUACAGAUGGGAGAAUAAUGAAGCAAGACAAUGCCAUGAAUACUUUGGGAACUUGACAACUGACAGACCCCAAGCAACCAAAAAAGAAAAGAAAAGCAGCAGCAGCAGUGAGCUCUAGGUCUCCGAGAAAAUUUAAGGAGCAAAUGGUUGCAGGAAAUGUGACUGUGUAUGACUUCAGCUGGCAGCAACUAAAUGUGAUUGAUAUUAAUUAACACUAUUUUUUGGCAAUAUUGUUCUGCUUAUAAAUAAUAAAGAUCGAGAGUUCAGAGUC